rnacentral:rRNA from 1 species
GACGAACGCUGGCGGCGUGCUUAACACAUGCAAGUCGAACGAUGAAGCCGGAGCUUGCUCUGGUGAAUUAGUGGCGAACGGGUGAGUAACACGUGAGUAACCUGCCCUUAACUCUGGGAUAACUGCGGGAAACUGUAGCUAAUACCGGAUACGACCCUCGGAGGCAUCUCCUGGGGGUGGAAAGAAUUUCGGUCAAGGAUGGAUUCGCGGCCUAUCAGCUAGUUGGUGAGGUAAAGGCUCACCAAGGCGACGACGGGUAGCCGGCCUGAGAGGGUGACCGGCCACACUGGGACUGAGACACGGCCCAGACUCCUACGGGAGGCAGCAGUGGGGAAUAUUGCACAAUGGGCGCAAGCCUGAUGCAGCAACGCCGCGUGAGGGAUGACGGCCUUCGGGUUGUAAACCUCUUUUAGCAGGGAAGAAGCGAAAGUGACGGUACCUGCAGAAAAAGCACCGGCUAACUACGUGCCAGCAGCCGCAGUAA